CUGAGUUGUCGACACGAGUUGUUGCUGGCCCCUCAAACGGGGGCAUGUGCACGCUCUGUUCACACAUCCACUCACACCUGUGCACCCUCUGUAGUUCUAUUGUCUGGGGGAGACGUGUCGUCUUCCUCCUGUAGCUCUACGUCUUUACACACACACCGUAGCGAAGUCUUAUGGAAUGUGCGCCGCGUUUAACGCAAUACAAUAC
rnacentral:misc_RNA from 1 species